GAUGAACGCUGGCGGCGUGCCUAAUACAUGCAAGUCGAGCGAACAGACGAGGAGCUUGCUCCUCUGACGUUAGCGGCGGACGGGUGAGUAACACGUGGAUAACCUACCUAUAAGACUGGGAUAACUUCGGGAAACCGGAGCUAAUACCGGAUAAUAUAUUGAACCGCAUGGUUCAAUAGUGAAAGACGGUUUUGCUGUCACUUAUAGAUGGAUCCGCGCCGCAUUAGCUAGUUGGUAAGGUAACGGCUUACCAAGGCAACGAUGCGUAGCCGACCUGAGAGGGGGAUCGGCCACACUGGAACUGAGACACGGUCCAGACUCCUACGGGAGGCAGCGGGAGGGAAUCUUCCGAAAUGGGCGAAAGCUUGACGGAGCAACGCCGCGUGGGUGAUGAAGGUCUUCGGAUCGUAAAACUCUGUUAUUAGGGAAGAACAAAUGUGUAAGUAACUAUGCACGUCUUGACGGUACCUAAUCAGAAAACCCCGGCGAACUACGU
rnacentral:rRNA from 1 species